CUGCCCUCAAGCCCGGCUUGUGUGUUGGGCCCCUGUCCCCGUGGACGGGCCCGAAAGGCAGCGGCGGCACCGCGUCUGGUCCUCGAGCGUAUGGGGCUUUGUCACCCGCUCUGGAGGCCGGAUCGGUGCCUGCCGACCAACCUUGUAUUUUCUCCA
rnacentral:misc_RNA from 1 species